CCUACGGGAGGCAGCAGUGAGGAAUAUUGGUCAAUGGGCGCUAGCCUGAACCAGCCAAGUAGCGUGAAGGAUGACUGCCCUAUGGGUUGUAAACUUCUUUUAUAUGGGAAUAAAGUGCAGUAUGUAUACUGCUUUGCAUGUACCUUCUGAAUAAGGAUCGGCUAACUCCGUGCCAGCAGCCGCGGUAAUACGGAGGAUCCGAGCGUUAUCCGGAUUUAUUGGGUUUAAAGGGAGCGUAGGCGGGUUGUUAAGUCAGUUGUGAAAGUUUGCGGCUCAACCGUAAAAUUGCAGUUGAGACUGGCAGCCUUGAGUACAGUAGAGGUAGGCGGAAUUCGUGGUGUAGCGGUGAAAUGCUUAGAUAUCACGAAGAACUCCGAUUGCGAAGGCAGCCUGCUGGACUGUAACUGACGCUGAUGCUCGAAAGUGUGGGUAUCAAACAGGAUUAGAUACCCCAGUAGUC
rnacentral:rRNA from 1 species